ACUAUGACCUGCCGCUUUUUCCUGGAGGCACCAGUAGUGAUCCUCUUUACUGGUGCAUCAGCUGGUUGUUCAUUUGGUGAGGUGUGUGUUUCCUCAUUAGUCCCCUGCAGAACUGCGAAGUGAUUCUGGAUGAAGACAUCAAUUU